rnacentral:rRNA from 1 species
UACAGAGGGUGCGAGCGUUGUCCGGAAUCACUGGGCGUAAAGGGCGCGUAGGCGGCCUGGUAAGUAGGGGGUGAAAUCCUGCGGCUCAACCGCAGGGCUGCCUCCUAAACUGUCAGGCUGGAGCACGGUAGAGGCAGAUGGAAUUCCCGGUGUAGCGGUGGAAUGCGUAGAGAUCGGGAAGAGCACCAGUGGCGAAGGCGGUCUGCUGGGCCGUUGCUGACGCUGAGGCGCGACAGCGUGGGGAGCAAACAGG